UGAAGUUAGCGGCGGACGGGUGAGUAACACGUGGGUAACCUGCCCAUAAGACUGGGAUAACUCCGGGAAACCGGGGCUAAUACCGGAUAACAUUUUGAACUGCAUGGUUCGAAAUUGAAAGGCGGCUUCGGCUGUCACUUAUGGAUGGACCCGCGUCGCAUUAGCUAGUUGGUGAGGUAACGGCUCACCAAGGCAACGAUGCGUAGCCGACCUGAGAGGGUGAUCGGCCACACUGGGACUGAGACACGGCCCAGACUCCUACGGGAGGCAGCAGUAGGGAAUCUUCCGCAAUGGACGAAAGUCUGACGGAGCAACGCCGCGUGAGUGAUGAAGGCUUUCGGGUCGUAAAACUCUGUUGUUAGGGAAGAACAAGUGCUAGUUGAAUAAGCUGGCACCUUGACGGUACCUAACCAGAAAGCCACGGCUAACUACGUGCCAGCAGCCGCGGUAAUACGUAGGUGGCAAGCGUUAUCCGGAAUUAUUGGGCGUAAAGCGCGCGCAGGUGGUUUCUUAAGUCUGAUGUGAAAGCCCACGGCUCAACCGUGGAGGGUCAUUGGAAACUGGGAGACUUGAGUGCAGAAGAGGAAAGUGGAAUUCCAUGUGUAGCGGUGAAAUGCGUAGAGAUAUGGAGGAACACCAGUGGCGAAGGCGACUUUCUGGUCUGUAACUGACACUGAGGCGCGAAAGCGUGGGGAGCAAA
rnacentral:rRNA from 1 species